UCUCUCUCUGCGUCGCCAGCCGCAGCACCGCCGGUACCCCAAUCAACACCAAAAAAUUUAGAUUUUCUCCUAUUUAUUCCUUCUAUCCAUUUCUCAAACCAAAAUCGUGAGAUUUAGCCAUCCAAUCAUCCAAAAAUCCUAGAACCCGAAAUCAAUUUGGGAGUUUUUGUGAUUUCUUCAUUCCAAGUCCAAAUCAAGGUGAAGAAGGCUAAGGAGGAGGAGAGACCGUGAGUUUUUGGAGAAGAAAGGGAAACACGAUCAUUAAGGAAGCUUAAGCGGAAAGCACCGGAGUGUGGAAUACGCCGACAUUUCCAGGUAGGGUGAGCUGUCUCUUCCUUGUUAGAGACUUUUCUAUAUAUGUGGAAUGCUCUAGUAUAAUAGUACGUUGCCUGUAAAUAAGUUUUUGGUUGUUCAUUAGUUGAUACCUCAUGAUAUCUGUGUUUUCAUAACUGAUAAUUGUUGAUUGCGAAAACUGAGGCUAGACUUGCGUGUUGAGAUAUUGUACCCCAAUGUAUGUAUGUACUUGUGAUCUGAAAGUGAAUGGGACCUAGACAUGUUGAUUCCUAGUCAUCCCACAGUGUCGAUAACCGUGAAUCUCCGGAGGGGGCUGUGCUUCUAUGUGCAUCGAGGAAAGAUAAGUACCAACGGUGAACCAGUCAUAGGACACUCAGGGCCAAGAAAUGGAUACUUUCGCUACUCGUAUUGACAAGGACUACAGAGUAGUUGGCUGGUUCUCGAAGAAUGAUGAACAGGUCGGUCACCGAUUGUUUUAGAAUAGCCGGCAGGUAAGUAUCUCGGAGCUCCAAAUUGUGUGAAGCAUGCUGCAUAUGAUUUUCUGAAAAAGACAACGAUGAUUGUUUUUGUUUGAAUUUGUUUUACUCGAUUUUACAAAUGCGCACAAUCUAUAUUCUAGUAGCUAUGUUCUACUUAUUAGUUUUCAAACCUAACUAAGGUUGGGUCGGCCCCUAUUGGGCUAGUGAGGACGAAAUGCUCACCCCUACAUUUCAGGUUACAAUGAGGUCACUCCAGACGAUCUGGAAUAGAAGUGGGUCAUUGGCCGAGUUCGUGUGUUGAUGUCCCUGUAGCUUGAAGUCCUUCCCUUUUGGUACUAUAUCAAUUUACUCGUUUUCCUUUCAAUGUUGAACUCAGUUGAAUUCUAUGAGGUCUACCUAUCUGGGAGCGCGCCUCACUCUAUGCUUUAUUGUUGCUAUUAACCUCCUAUUAUUUCGGUUAUGAUGUAAGCCCUAUGGCGUCA